rnacentral:rRNA from 1 species
UACGUAGGGUGCAAGCGUUGUCCGGAAUUAUUGGGCGUAAAGAGCUUGUAGGCGGUUUGUCGCGUCUGCUGUGAAAUUUCGGGGCUCAACCCCGAACUUGCAGUGGGUACGGGCAGACUAGAGUGUGGUAGGGGAGACUGGAAUUCCUGGUGUAGCGGUGAAAUGCGCAGAUAUCAGGAGGAACACCGAUGGCGAAGGCAGGUCUCUGGGCCAUAACUGACGCUGAGAAGCGAAAGCAUGGUGAGCGAACAGG